AAUGUUGUGGCUCAGUGGCAGAGCGCUUGCCUCAAACACAUGCACUGGGUUCAAUCCUCAGUACUACAUAA
rnacentral:tRNA from 1 species